rnacentral:rRNA from 1 species
UGAGGAAUGAGAAGUGGUAACAAGGUUUCCGUAGGUGAACCUGCGGAAGGAUCAUUGUUGUAUCCCGGCCCCAACGGCACACUCGCGAACUGUCCCAUCCCGUCCUCGGUAGGUAGGUAGGUAGGACGCCCCCGCGCGGGACGCCGACCGACCGACCGACCGACGAACCUUUUCCGGCGCGGUCCGCGCCAAGGAACACCAACCGACGAGAACGCCCGCGCCGUCCUCGCUCCGUGCCUGGCCGCGCGGGCGCUCCCACGUACAGAAAUCUUAACGACUCCCGGCAACGGAUAUCUAGGCUCUCGCAUCGAUGAAGAACGUAGCGAAAUGCGAUACGUGGUGUGAAUUGCAGAAUCCCGUGAACCAUCGAAUCUUUGAACGCAAGUUGCGCCCGAGGCCGUCAGGCCGAGGGCACGCCUGCCUGGGCGUCACGCCCCGCGUCGCUCCCACUCCCCCGCCCCGCGCGGCGGCGGCGGCGGCCGUGGGACGCGGAGAUUGGCCUACCGUGCUGCGGCGCGGCGGGCCGAAGUGCUCGAACCCUUCCCCGUGCGUGGGACGAGAACACGGCGAGUGGUGGAUUGGAUCGGACCGACCGACUCAUCGUCGCCGCGCCCUUCUCGCCCCGCCGCCCGGCGGGCGGGAUUCACGAAACCCAGCCGCGAGCGGCCGUUCGGAGGCGCCGCGCGCCGCCGACGCCCGCUCCGACCGCGACCCCAGGUCAGGCGGGGCCACGCGCUGAGUUUAAGUAUAUCAAUACACGGAGGAA